ACGGGGUGCAGCAGGCGCGAAAACUUCGCACUGCGCGAAAGCGCGACGAGGGAAUCCCAAGUGUAUGCACGUAAGUGUAUACUGUUUCUCUGUCUAAAAAGCAGAGAGAGUAAGAGCUGGGUAAGACGGGUGCCAGCCGCCGCGGUAAUACCUGCAGCUCGAGUGGUGAUCGUUAUUAUUGGGCCUAAAACGUCCGUAGCCGGUCUUCUAAAUGCCUGGGUAAAUCGUAUGGCUUAACCAUACGGAUUCCGGGUAGACUGUUAGACUUAAGACCGGGAGAAGCUAGAGGUACUCCUGGGGUAGAGGUGAAAUUCUGUAAUCCUAGGGGGACGACCAGUGGCGAAGGCGUCUAGCUAGAACGGGUCCGACGGUGAGGGACGAAGCCCUGGGGCGCAAACGGGAUUAGAUACCCCGGUAGUCCAGGGUGUAAACGCGGCUUGCUUGAUGUUAGUCUGGCUCCGAGCCAGAUUAGUGUCGGAGAGAAGUUGUUAAGCAAGCUGCCUGGGAAGUACGGCCGCAAGACUGAAACUUAAAGGAAUUGGCGGGGGAGCAC
rnacentral:rRNA from 1 species